CAGAGGCAGAGUAACAGGAGAGAUGUUUGGCACUGCUAGAGAAAAGGUCAGAUAGCUUAUGCUGUCUUUUCAGAUUUAAUAUGUUUUCUGUGCUCCAAGGCCAACAAAGGACCUUGCUGUUGUGUCAAGGAUACAACUUUACAGUGACUGGGAAAAAUGUCAAGCUUUGAAAGAGCAUUUGUUGUGUCUAUGAGAGAGAACUCCAUCAAACUCAGGCCUUGGAGAGUGCUGCUGUGGAUGGCAAUGAGUGUGACUCAUCUGGCUAUAGAGCUGGAAGUGUAA
rnacentral:lncRNA from 1 species